rnacentral:tRNA from 1 species
GGUCGGAUAGCUCAGUUGGUAGAGCAGAGGACUGAAAAUCCUCGUGUCGGGUGUUCAAUUCACCCUCCGACCA